rnacentral:rRNA from 1 species
AUUGAACGCUGGCGGAAUGCUUUACACAUGCAAGUCGAACGGCAGCACGGACUUCGGUCUGGUGGCGAGUGGCGAACGGGUGAGUAAUGUAUCGGAACGUGCCCAGUCGUGGGGGAUAACGUAGUGAAAAUUACGCUAAUACCGCAUACGAUCUAUGGAUGAAAGCGGGGGAUCGCAAGACCUCGCGCGAUUGGAGCGGCCGAUAGCAGAUUAGGUAGUUGGUGGGGUAAAGGCCCACCAAGCCAACGAUCUGUAGCUGGUCUGAGAGGACGACCAGCCACACUGGAACUGAGACACGGUCCAGACUCCUACGGGAGGCAGCAGUGGGGAAUUUUGGACAAUGGGCGAAAGCCUGAUCCAGCCAUUCCGCGUGCAGGAUGAAGGCCCUCGGGUUGUAAACUGCUUUUGUACAGAACGAAAAGGUUUCUACUAAUACUAGGAGCUCAUGACGGUACUGGAAGAAUAUGCACCGGCUAACUACGUGCCAGCCGCCGCCGUAA